rnacentral:rRNA from 1 species
GGGAUAUUGGUCAAUGGGCGGAAGCCUGAACCAGCCAUGCCGCGUGAGGGAAUGAGGCCCUACGGGUCGUGAACCUCUUUUAUUCGGGGACAAGGACGCGGUCGCGAACCGAGUUUGAGGGUACCGAAGGAAUAAGCGUCGGCUAACUCCGUGCCAGCAGCCGCGGUAAUACGGAGGACGCGAGCGUUAUCCGGAUUCAUUGGGUUUAAAGGGUGCGCAGGCGGCUCGGCAAGUCAGCGGUGAAAGCCCGGGGCCCAACCCCGGAAGUGCCGUUGAUACUGUCGGGCUGGAAUGCGGUCGAGGCGGGCGGAACGUGGCGUGUAGCGGUGAAAUGCGUAGAUAUGCCACAGAACGCCGAUAGCGGAGGCAGCUCGCCAGGCCUGCAUUGACGCUCGGGCACGAAAGCGUGGGGAUCGAACA